CACCUGGAGGUUGCAGUCCAUGGGGUUGCAAAGAGUUGGACAUUACUGGGCGACUGAGCACACACACGGUGGAAAAAGCAUGACCAAGAAUAUAUUAUACAAGGAUGCAGAAAAGUAUAAAGGAAGAAUGCUUUUAAGACUAGCCCCUCAUUGUUGGUUCAGUCUUUCAUAUAAAGAAGCGGACUUAAUCUUCAUAGAUGACCUUUCUCUUUCAGGUACAGAUGGCCCCAAUUUCAUAUCUUUCAAUUCAGCAUGGUUAACCUUCUCAAUCAAGCAAUUUAAAAUAUAUGUGCCCAGGAUAGUGUUGGAUGCUUACAGGUGAUCCUGGAAGCUUGGAUCAACAUCUGGCUGAAUGUACAACUGCAGUAAUAAUAGUUCCUUCAGGCGUCAAUUUGUGUGAGUCCACGAACCUGAGGACUUUGAGCUGAAUGAAGAGAGAAGAUGCAUGUAGAGCAUCAAAAUCCAUGCUUCAGGAUUCAGCCAACUCUUG